AAAUUGAAGAGUUUGAUCAUGGCUCAGAUUGAACGCUGGCGGCAGGCCUAACACAUGCAAGUCGAACGGUAACAGGAAGCAGCUUGCUGCUUCGCUGACGAGUGGCGGACGGGUGAGUAAUGUCUGGGAAACUGCCUGAUGGAGGGGGAUAACUACUGGAAACGGUGGCUAAUACCGCAUAACGUCGCAAGACCAAAGAGGGGGACCUUCGGGCCUCUUGCCAUCAGAUGUGCCCAGAUGGGAUUAGCUGGUUGGUGAGGUAACGGCUCACCAAGGCGACGAUCCCUAGCUGGUCUGAGAGGAUGACCAGCCACACUGGAACUGAGACACGGUCCAGACUCCUACGGGAGGCAGCAGUGGGGAAUAUUGCACAAUGGGCGCAAGCCUGAUGCAGCCAUGCCGCGUGUAUGAAGAAGGCCUUCGGGUUGUAAAGUACUUUCAGCGGGGAGGAAGGUGUUGCGGUUAAUAACCGCAGCAAUUGACGUUACCCGCAGAAGAAGCACCGGCUAACUCCGUGCCAGCAGCCGCGGUAAUACGGAGGGUGCAAGCGUUAAUCGGAAUUACUGGGCGUAAAGCGCACGCAGGCGGUCUGUCAAGUCGGAUGUGAAAUCCCCGGGCUCAACCUGGGAACUGCAUUCGAAACUGGCAGGCUUGAGUCUUGUAGAGGGGGGUAGAAUUCCAGGUGUAGCGGUGAAAUGCGUAGAGAUCUGGAGGAAUACCGGUGGCGAAGGCGGCCCCCUGGACAAAGACUGACGCUCAGGUGCGAAAGCGUGGGGAGCAAACAGGAUUAGAUACCCUGGUAGUCCACGCCGUAAACGAUGUCUACUUGGAGGUUGUGCCCUUGAGGCGUGGCUUCCGGAGCUAACGCGUUAAGUAGACCGCCUGGGGAGUACGGCCGCAAGGUUAAAACUCAAAUGAAUUGACGGGGGCCCGCACAAGCGGUGGAGCAUGUGGUUUAAUUCGAUGCAACGCGAAGAACC
rnacentral:rRNA from 2 species